rnacentral:rRNA from 1 species
UGGGGAAUAUUGCACAAUGGGCGCAAGCCUGAUGCAGCCAUGCCGCGUGUGUGAAGAAGGCCUUCGGGUUGUAAAGCACUUUCAGCGGGGAGGAAGGCGUUAAGGUUAAUAACCUUGGCGAUUGACGUUACCCGCAGAAGAAGCACCGGCUAACUCCGUGCCAGCAGCCGCGGUAAUACGGAGGGUGCAAGCGUUAAUCGGAAUUACUGGGCGUAAAGCGCACGCAGGCGGUCUGUCAAGUCGGAUGUGAAAUCCCCGGGCUCAAUCUGGGAACUGCAUUCGAAACUGGCAGGCUAGAGUCUUGUAGAGGGGGGUAGAAUUCCAGGUGUAGCGGUGAAAUGCGUAGAGAUCUGGAGGAAUACCGGUGGCGAAGGCGGCCCCCUGGACAAAGACUGACGCUCAGGUGCGAAAGCGUGGGGAGCAAACAGG